CUCUCCUCUCCACUCCCCCCUACCUCGCCGCCUCCGCCGCGCUUGUUCCUCCCACCCCGCGGCGCCGCCCCCCGACGCUUCUGCCUCUCUGCUCUUCCCGAGGUAUCCGGGGGAAGGGCGACGGCACACUGGUGGCCCAGCGGCGAUGGUGACGGCUGCGCCGGCGAAGGAAUCUCACCGACAUUAGCUCCGAGCUUCAAGGAAUGGACAGUGUUCCAGCUCUCGCGCUCUGCUGCCUAAUCUUGCUACCGAGCUGGGCCAAUGGCCUCGGCUCCAUGGGAUCCAUCUCGGUGUCCUACGGCGAGGACGGCCCGGUGUUCUGCGGCCUCAGCUCGGACGGCUCCCACUUGGUCACCUGCUCCGGCGCGGACGCAUCUGUCGUCUACGGUGCUCCCCUCAGGAUCCCCUUCCUCGGCCUCACCGCGGGGGAUGGGUUCGCGUGCGGUCUCUUGCUUGAUACCAGUCAGCCUUACUGCUGGGGGAGCAACUCAUAUGUCAAGAUCGGGGUGCCGCAACCAAUGGUCGAGGGCGUGGAGUAUUCCCUGCUCAGUGCCGGGGACAACCACCUGUGUGCACUGCGAAUGCCUGACAAGGGGAUUCCUCACGGUGUUAACCCUGAUACUUCAGUGAUAGAUUGCUGGGGGUACAACAUGACUGCCACACAUGUUGUCGCUGGAGCCGUGUCGACCAUAUCAGCGGGCUCGGUGUUCAAUUGUGCCUUGUUUACGCGCAACAGGACAGUGUUCUGCUGGGGUGAUGAGACAGUGAGUGGUGUGAUUGAGCUGGCUCCGAGGAAUGUCAAGUUUCAGUCCAUAGGAGCAGGUGGCUACCAUGUCUGUGGGGUGCUGGAGAAUGCACAAGUCUUCUGCUGGGGAAGGAGCUUGGAGAUGCAGCAGGUGUCGCCUACCGGUGCUAUCGGUGAAGGCGAUGUGAGCAUAGUGCCGAUGGAUGCAAUGGUCUCCGUUGUGGGCGGACGAUUCCAUGCUUGUGGCAUCAGGAGCCUUGAUCACCAAGUAGCUUGCUGGGGUUUCCAACUUCAGAACAGUACAUCAGCACCCAAAGGUCUCAGGUUGUAUACAAUAGUGGCUGGAGACUACUUUACUUGUGGUGUGCCUGCUGAGACAUCGAUGAAGCCAAGGUGUUGGGGCAAUAGUGGGCCAUUGGCACUACCAAUGGCGGUAUCACCCGGGAUUUGUGUAUCUUCUGCAUGCAGCCCCGGAUACUACGAGUAUGUUAACCAUGGUGAGCUUGGUGGCAGCAAGUCUUGCAAGCCUGGAAACUCUAGACUCUGCUUGCCCUGCAGUGCUGGCUGCCCAGACAACUCGUAUGAGUCCUCGCCCUGCAAUGCCACGGCUGACCGUGUGUGCCAGUUUGAUUGCUCGAGGUGUGUCUCAGAUGAGUGUUUGUCAUACUGCACAUCCCGGAAGCAGACCAACAACCAUAAGUCAAUGGAUUUUCAGAUGCGCAUUUUUGUGGCAGAGAUUGCAUUUGCUGUCAUUUUGAUUUUCACCGUGACAGCCAUUUCUUGCCUAUAUGUACGACACAAGCUUCGAGAUUGCCGAUGUUCGAAGAGCAAGUUGAGGAUGACAAAGAGUGCAACAUACUCUUUUCGAAAGGAUAACACGAAGAUCCAGCCUGACGUGGAAGAUCUGAAGAUCAGGAGAGCUCAGGAAUUUUCCUAUGAGGAGUUGGAACAAGCAACCGAUGGCUUCUCGGAGGAUUCACAAGUUGGCAAAGGCAGCUUUUCAUGUGUAUUCAGGGGCAUUCUGAGAGAUGGGACAGUCGUUGCUGUGAAGCGUGCAAUAAAAGUAUCGGAUGCGAAGAAAAGCUCAAAGGAGUUCCAUACUGAACUUGACCUCCUCUCUAGGCUCAACCAUGCACAUUUGCUCGACCUACUUGGUUACUGUGAGGAUGGCAGCGAGAGGCUCUUGGUUUAUGAGUUCAUGGCUCAUGGAUCCCUGUACCAGCAUCUGCAUGGCAAGGAUUCAAACUUGAAGAAGCAACUGAACUGGACCAGGCGGGUUACCAUUGCUGUCCAGGCUGCUCGUGGAAUAGAGUAUUUGCAUGGCUAUGCUUGCCCACCAGUAAUUCACCGAGACAUCAAGUCUUCAAACAUAUUGAUCGAUGAGGACCACAAUGCGCGUGUUGCCGACUUUGGUCUAUCUAUAAUGGGCCCUGUAGAUAGCGGCACACCACUCUCAGAGCUGCCGGCAGGGACACUUGGGUACCUUGACCCUGAGUACUACCGUCUCCAUUACUUGACGACAAAGUCGGAUGUCUACAGCUUUGGAGUAGUUCUUCUAGAAAUCCUAAGUGGCAGGAAAGCCAUUGACAUGCAGCUUGAGGAGGGCAAUAUUGUUGAAUGGGCAGCCCCGUUGAUCAAAGCUGGGGACAUUUCUGGCAUCCUUGAUCCAGCCUUAUCUCCUCCCUCUGACCUGGAGGCUCUGAAGAAGAUUGCAGCUGUGGCAUGCAAGUGCGUGAGAAUGCGAGGCAAAGACCGGCCUUCCAUGGACAAGGUGACAACAUCUCUAGAGCGUGCACUUGCGCUGCUGAUGGGCAGCCCAUGCCUGGAGCAACCCAUUCUGCCAACUGAAGUUGUUCUCGGGAGCAGCCGGAUGCACAAAAAGGUAUCACAGAGGUCAUCCAAUCAGUCGUGCUCAGAGAACGAGCUCGUUGAUGGGGACGACCAGCGGAUCGAGUACAGGGCACCAUCUUGGAUAACGUUUCCAAGCGUGACCUCGUCGCAGAGGAGGAAAUCAUCAGCGUCGGAAGCCGACCUGGAUGGCCGAACAACCACAGAUGGGAGGAACGUCGGGAGCAGCAUAGGAGAUGGUCUGCGGUCAUUGGAGGAAGAGAUUGGGCCGGCGUCGCCACAGGAGGACUUGUACUUGCAGCACAACUUCUGAUGAAAUGCCAAGAUCAGCUGGAAACACGGAAACCGUCUGCCGUUUUAAGUUCAGACUUUGUGACCUGUUGCUUUGUAGAUCAACUGUAGCAGGCCAUUCGGGAGAGAGGAAGAUCUAGCUAUAUAGAGUACGUACUGGAAGGAUUUUUAGCAUCUGGAGGCAUUUCUUUGUAGAUUGAUUCGGCCGUCCUAUAAUUGGCACUUCUAUUUACGAGUGGGUGGCGACACUUGAUGAAUCCUGUUCUGUAGCUCGCAGAUACGUGUGAAGUGUAAUUUUCAGUGGCCCGGUUCGGGAUUCAGGAGAUUGUCGGUGUGUGUCAUCUGCCAUGAUCUGUUUACGCUGUUGCUUUCGAGACAAUGAACGCAGGUCGUUGAAAAUCAGUUAAUGUUGCUGACUUUGUCAUUAUGUUUGUUACGAGUACUUCUUUCGGAAGCAAGGCGGUAGUACUUUAAAUGUGGUCGAGAUUAGAGUAACACUUUCGGUUGCGGACAUGGAUAAUCUGCUCACGAGCUCAAAUACACAUGCAUGACAGUAACUUUGAUUUU
rnacentral:rRNA from 1 species